ensembl:snRNA U6 U6 spliceosomal RNA
UUUUUUAAAAAAAUACAGCAGAACAUACACUAGAGUUGGAAGAAUACAGAGAAGGUUAGCAUGGCCGAUGCACGAGAAUAACAUGCAAAUUUGUGAGGUGCUUCAUAUUUUU